rnacentral:rRNA from 1 species
GCGGUAAAGCUCGUAGUUGGAUUUCUGUUGAGGACGACCGGUCCAUACAACGUAUGCGCAUCUGGUUCGGCCUCGGCAUCCUCUCGAAAGACGUUUCUGCGCUUGAUUGCGUGGAGCGGAUCUCGGGACUUUUACUUUGAGGAAAUUAGAGUGUUCACGGCAGGCUAUCGCCAGAAUACAUUAGCAUGGAAUAAUACUAUAGGAUCUUGAUUCUAUUUUGUUGGUUUCUAGAAUUGAGAUAAUGAUUAAUAGGGACAAUUGGGGGCAUUCGUAUCAACACGUCAGAGGUGGAAUUCUUGGAUUGUGUUGCGACGAACUACUGCGAAAGCAUUUGCCAAGGAUGUUUUCAUUGAUCAAGAACGAAAGUAAGGGGAUCGAAGACGAUUAGAUACCGUCGUAGUCUUUACCAUAAACUAUGCCAACUAGAGAUGGGGCAUCGUUCACUUACGACUUGCUCCGCACCUUAUGAGAUAUCAAAGUCUUUGGGUUCCGGGGGGAGUAUGGUCGCAAGGCUGAAACUUAAAGGAAUUGACGGAAGGGCACCACCAGGAGUGGAGCCUGCGGCUUAAUUUGACUCAACACGGGGAAACUCACCAGGUCCAGACAUAAUAAGGAUUGACAGAUUGAUAGCUCUUUCUUGAUUUUAUGGGUGGUGGGGCAUGGCCGUUCUUAAUUCGUGGAGUGAUUUGUCUGCUUAAUUGCGUUAACGAACGAGACCUUAACCUGCUAAAUAGAAUUGCCUAUCUUCGGAUAAGCGUCUUUCUUCUUAGAGGGACUUUAUGCGUUUCAGCAUGAGGAAGUUUGAGCUAAAACAGGUCUGUGAUGCCCUUAGAUGUUCUGGGCUG